rnacentral:rRNA from 1 species
GGUCAAGAUGCUAAGGGCCCACGGUGGAUGCCUUGGCACCCGAGCCGAUGAAGGACGUGGCUACCUGCGAUAAGCCAGGGGGAGCUGGUAGCGAGCGUUGAUCCCUGGAUGUCCGAAUGGGGAAACCCGACCCGUGGGAACACGGGUCACCGCCUUUGUGCGGGGGGAACCUGGGGAACUGAAACAUCUCAGUACCCAGAGGAGAGGAAAGCGAAAGCGACUCCCUGAGUAGCGGCGAGCGAAAGGGGAAGAGCCUAAACCGUCCGGCUUGUCCGGGCGGGGUCGUGGGGCCCUCAGAUGCCGAAUCCCUAGCCUAGCCGAAGCUGUCUGGGAAGCAGCGCCAGAGAGGGUGAAAGCCCCGUAGGCGAAAGGUGAGGGGAUAGGUGAGGGUACCCGAGUACCCCGUGGUUCGUGGAGCCAUGGGGGAAUCUGGGCGGACCACCGCCUAAGGCUAAGUACUCCGGGUGACCGAUAGUGAACCAGUACCGUGAGGGAAAGGUGAAAAGAACCCCGGGAGGGGAGUGAAAUAGAACCUGAAACCGUGGGCUUACAAGCAGUCGCGGCCCCUUUAGGGGUUGCGGCGUGCCUAUUGAAGCAUGAGCCGGCGACUCACGGUCGUGGGCGAGCUUAAGCCGUAAGGCGGAGGCGUAGGGAAACCGAGUCCGAAUAGGGCGCAGGCGGGCCGCGUGCGGCCCGCGAAGUCCGCGGCCGUGGACCCGAAACCGGGUGAGCUAGUCCUGGCCAGGGUGAAGCUGGGGUGAAACCCAGUGGAGGCCCGAACCGGUGGGGGAUGCAAACCCCUCGGAUGAGCUGGGAUUAGGAGUGAAAAGCUAACCGAACCCGGAGAUAGCUGGUUCUCCCCGAAAUGACUUUAGGGUCAGCCUCAGGCGCUGACUGGGGCCUGUAGAGCACUGAUAGGGCUAGGGGGCCCACCAGCCUACCAAACCCUGUCAAACUCCGAAGGGUCCCAGGUGGAGCCUGGGAGUGAGGGCGCGGGCGAUAACGUCCGCGUCCGAGCGCGGGAACAACCGAGACCGCCAGUUAAGGCCCCCAAGUCUGGGCUAAGUGGGAAAGGAUGUGGCGCCGCGAAGACAGCCAGGAGGUUGGCUUAGAAGCAGCCAUCCUUUAAAGAGUGCGUAAUAGCUCACUGGUCGAGUGGCGCUGCGCCGAAAAUGAUCGGGGCUUAAGCCCAGCGCCGAAGCUGCGGGCCUAGGGCGCAAGCCCUAGGCGGUAGGGGAGCGUUCCCGAUGCCGAUGAAGGUCGCUCGUGAGGGCGGCUGGAGGUAAGGGAAGUGCGAAUGCCGGCAUGAGUAACGAUAAACAGGGUGAGAAUCCCUGUCGCCGUAAGCCCAAGGGUUCCUACGCCAUGGUCGUCAACGUAGGGUUAGGCGGGACCUAAGGUGAGGCCGAAAGGCGUAGCCGAUGGACAGCCGGUUAAUAUUCCGGCCCUUCCCGUGGGUGCGAUGGGGGGACGCUCUAGGCUAGGGGGACCGGAGCCAUGGACGAGCCCGGCCAGAAGCGCAGGGUGGGAGGUAGGCAAAUCCGCCUCCCGUGGGCUCUGCGUGGUGGGGAAGCCCGUGAGGGUGACAACCCCCCGAAGCCAGGGAGCCAAGAAAAGCCUCUAAGCACAACCCACGGGAACCCGUACCGCAAACCGACACAGGUGGGCGGGUGCGAGAGCACUAAGGCGCGCGGGAGAACCCUCGCCAAGGAACUCUGCAAGUUGGCCCCGUAACUUCGGGAGAAGGGGUGCUCCCGGUGGCGCCUUCGGGCGCCGCUUGGGAGCCGCAGUGAAUAGGCUCUGGCGACUGUUUACCAAAAACACAGCUCUCUGCGAACUCGUAAGAGGAGGUAUAGGGAGCGACGCUUGCCCGGUGCCGGAAGGUCAAGGGGAGGGGUGCAAGCCCCAAACCGAAGCCCCGGUGAACGGCGGCCGUAACU